rnacentral:lncRNA from 1 species
ACAUCGUUGGAUUAUCAACUGAAAACUCGCUGAAACUGAACAGAGGACUGAAAACUAGUGCUGCCGGAAAACAGGAACACUGUAGCUGCCGGAAAAGCAUUGUAGCUACCGGAAAAAUUCAAAGUUGUCGGAAUUGAAAAGUAAAAAUAUGGAUAGGCUCGAAAUUCAAGUAGGAGCAAACUGUCCUGAAGAAAUUUUGGCCGGAAAGUACUGUAGCUGCCGGAAAAAUCACUGUAGGUCGCUGGAAAAAAUCAAAGUUGUCGGAAUCGAACAAAAAGUGGAUGGGUGGGGUCGGAAUUGUAUUCUGAGCAAUCUGUUCUGAAGGAGCGAAGCCAAAAAAUGGCCGGAAACAGCCCCACGCGCCGGCGCGUGGUCUGACGCGCCGACAGCUGUGGUGGCGCNNNNN